rnacentral:tRNA from 1 species
GCCCAGGUGGCGGAAUGGUAGACGCAAGGGACUUAAAAUCCCUCGGUCGGAAACGACUGUACCGGUUCGACCCCGGUCACCGGCACCA